UUUAUGGUGUGACUUUUCUCCCCUGCACGACUAAACCUAAACCCUAGGUUCGACCCCUCGUAUCAAAAUCCACCUCCACAUCCGAGUCCGAUUACGUUACCCUCGGCGGCCGCCGCCGACGGUCGGCUGUCUUCACUCGCAGCUAAGGUGCCAGACUCCUUCGAAGCUUUGACGUAAUUGUGUUAAUCUGUAGAUAUCCCUGAUACCGCUAGUAAUACAUAUGGCUACUAGGAAAAGUCUGCAGCUUAUUACUUUCUCUCAGGAAAUCGUGGAUGGAGAACCUAUCUAUGUUUCGUCUAACAGCCUUCCAAUCAAGGCUUUCAACCGUGAGCCUGCAGGACAUGCUUUUCACGCUGCAGCGCUUAGGUUGAUAGGUCAUGUUGAGGAAACAAAUGCAGAUAAUGAAAAGAAGAAUGAGGGUUCAAAUGAGAAGGAGCAGGACUACAGGCAAACAUGGGAUUCCUACAGUAAUAAAGGAAAGAAGAAAUCUGGCAGUGAAGGGAAGGAGCAGGAUCAUUAUGCUUUAUUGGGAUUGGGCCAUUUGAGGUAUCUUGCAACUGAGGAACAGAUAAGAAAAAGUUAUCGUGAAACUGCUCUGAGGCAUCAUCCUGAUAAGCGGGCUGCCCUUCUGCUUGCUGAGGAAACCGAGGCAGCAAAACAAGCAAAGAAGGAUGAAAUAGAGAGCCAUUUCAAGGCUGUUCAGGAAGCUUACGAGGUGCUCAUUGAUCCUGUCAAGAGAAGAAUCUAUGAUUCAACAGAUGAGUUUGAUGAUGAAAUUCCAUUUGAGUGUGCACCGCAGGACUUUUUCAAGGUAUUUGGACCAGCAUUCUUGAGAAAUGGGCGCUGGUCAGUCCACCAGCCUAUCCCGACUUUGGGAGAUGAAAAUUCGACUUUCGAAGAAGUGGAUAGUUUUUAUGAUUUUUGGUAUAGCUUUAAGAGCUGGAGGGAGUUUCCCCAUGCUGAUGAGUUUGAUGUUGAGCAAGCUGAGUCCCGUGAUCACAAAAGGUGGAUGGAGAGGCAAAAUGCUAAACUCACAGAGAAAGCUAGGAAGGAAGAAUAUGGACGUAUCCGUACACUUGUUGACAAUGCCUAUAAAAGGGACCCUAGAAUUCUUAGAAGAAAAGAUGAGCUGAAAGCUGAGAAACAGAGGAAGAAGGAGGCCAAGAUUUUGGCAAAGAAACUGCAGGAGGAAGAAGCAGCUAGGAUUGCUGAGGAGGAGAGACGGAAAAAAGAGGAGGAUGAAAAAAAGGCUGCUGAAGCUGCUUUAAAUCAGAAAAAGUUGAAGGAGAAAGAGAAAAAGCUAUUGCGCAAGGAGCGGUCCCGGCUGCGAACACUUUCUGGGUCUGUUGUGUCCGAGGAUUUACUUGAUCUUUCUGAUGAUAAAGUGGAAGGUCUUUGCAUGUCACUCAAUAUUGAACAACUGAGGAAUUUAUGUGACAAGAUGGAAAGAAAGGAAGGGCUAGGGAGAGCUGAACUUCUCAGGGAGGCACUUGGAUCUGAUAACAAAUCCAAGGAUGAGAAACAGCAUAACGAGAAGAAGAACCAACAGCUGAAUGGUUCUGUGGGGGUGAACAAGCAAGUAAUUUUUGGCAGCAAUGAGAAAAGGGAGAGCCCCUGGGGCAAAGAAGAGAUUGAGAUGUUAAGAAAGGGGGUGCAAAAAUAUCCGAAAGGAACUUCUCGGAGGUGGGAAGUGAUUUCUGAGUACAUUGGUACUGGAAGGUCAGUUGAAGAGAUUCUGAAGGCUACAAAAACUGUUCUUCUUCAGAAGCCUGACUCCGCUAAAGCUUUUGAUUCCUUCCUUGAGAAAAGAAAGCCGGCACAAUCAAUUGCAUCUCCUCUGACAGCUAGAGAGGACUUGCCUGGGAAUUUAAACGGCAGUGUGCCCAAGAGGAAUGCUUCUGAUCCAAAUAAUUUGCCCGAGUCAUUCAGUGGAACUGGAAGCUGCCAGAACUCAGACGAGAGGGCAGCUUCUAAUGGUGUUUCUUCAAGUUCAGAUCUGGAUGCAUGGUCAGCUGUUCAGGAAAAAGCUUUAGUUCAAGCUCUGAAGACCUUUCCCAAGGAAACUAGCCAGCGCUGGGAACGAAUUUCAGCCGCAGUUCCCGGGAAAACUGUCAGCCAAUGUAAGAAGAAAUUUAUGUUGAUGAAAGAUAACUUUAGGAACAGCAAUGUGCUAGAGAAGAAUAGUUGUCAGUCGGACGGUUCAGAUCCAUCUUCCAGUCCCAUUGAGAAUGGUCAAAAAAGGGAUGAAAGCAAUACCGGAAAUGGGGUUUCUUCAAGUUCUGAUCAGGAUAUUUGGUCUGAUCUUCAGGAAAAAGCUUUGGUCCAAUCUCUCAAAACAUUCCCAAAGGAAACUAACCAGAGGUGGGAACGAGUAGCUGCUGCAGUUCCUGGAAAAACUGUUAAUCAGUGUAAGAAAAAGUUUGCAAUGCUGAAAGAGAACUUCAGGAACAAGAAAAAUGCAGUGUAGUCUCCACACUGGGAAAGACGAUGAAUCUGAGUGAGAUUGUCUGGAUAUAAGGAAAGAGGGCACUUGACGAGCCAGCUCCAAUUAUUGGAAAGGUUUGAAGAGUUCAGUGAAGGGAACCUUCCUGCCAGAGGGUUGUUCUCGAUGGAACUAGUAUUCAGGACUGCUUACAGCACCUUCCAUUCACUCGUCUCCCUACUUGGGAAUUCUAACCAAAUCCAGGGUGCGAGGGUAACUCUCUUUGAGGAACUCAGCAAAAUAGUCCCGUAACUUCUGGAGAAGGGAUGGCCUCCUCUCAAAGGGGGCCGCAGUGAUGAGUCCCGAGUGACUGUUUUAUCAAAAACAUAGGUCUCUACAAAGUCACAAGACGUAAAGUUAAUCAAUCCAAGCAAUCGAGAUUCUUAUAUAAAUAUUAACGACCGAUGGGAAUGGAGUGAAGCGGGGGGCAGGUUUGGAUGCUUAUUUAUCUAUUCGGUUCAGCGAUACAACUAAUCUACCGAGCAUUCCACGCCCUACCGUUUAUAUUUGAUGUUUGUGUUCUUGCAAUGUAUUAUAGAGCUUACAUCAUUCUCGUGAAUGAGACAUUCUUCAAGCCUAUGCAAAAUACGUAUCAAAUCAAUUAAGCUGUGUUUUCGUUAAUC